rnacentral:rRNA from 1 species
AUUGAACGCUGGCGGCAGGCCUAACACAUGCAAGUCGAGCGGAUGAAGGGUGCUUGCUUCUGGAUUCAGCGGCGGACGGGUGAGUAAUGCCUAUGAAUCUGCCUGGCAGUGGGGGAUAACGUCCUGAAACGGGCGCUAAUACUGCAUACGUCCUGAGGGAGCAGGUUGGGGAUCUUCGGACCUCACGCUCUCAGCUGAGCCUACGUCGGAUUAGCUAGUUGGUGGGGUAAAGGCCUACCAAGGCGACGAUCCGUAACUGGUCUGAGAGGAUGAUCAGUCACACUGGAACUGAGACAAGAUCAAGAGUCCUAAGGGAGGCAGCAGUGGGGAAUAUGAGACAAUGGGCGAAAGCCUGAUCCAGUCAUGCCGCGUGUGUGAAGAAGGUCUUCGGAUUGUAAAGCACUUUAAGUUGGGAGGAAGGGCAGUAAGUUAAGACCUUGCUGUAUUGACGUUACCAACAGAAUAAGCACCGGCUAACUUCGUG